AAACAUUAUCUCUUUCUCUCUUUCUCCGCCUCUCUUUUUCCUUCUCCCUCAUAUUUUCUCUCCUUACUGGAACUCUGGAAAAUCCCCUGAACCUAUCAAAAAUAAACCCUAAAACCUGCGAUAAAUCAAUAACCUUAUCUCACAUCUGCAAACCCAUUUUUCAGAAAUCAAAACCAUCUUUGAAUGACCUGAUUUCGCGAACCCAGUAGAUUCAAGUAGAAACCCUAGAAAGUUGAGGACAAGAAUCAGGUAGAAAUUGGUAGAGCUUUAUGGGUAUGUCAUGGUGGAUGGAAAUUUUGUUGUAGAGAUUGGCUUCAGAUGUUGGUGGUUGAUGGUAUUUUUCUUGUAAUUGUUGGUGGUGGUAGUUUGAUGGUGAAACUGGUGGUUCUGUAGCUGUUGGUGUUAUGGGUGGCUGUAAGUGUUUCUCAUGGUAGCUUUGGUGAUAGUGACUGCUGGACUUUCUCUUAUUGGUGGUGAACCAUUGCUCUACUAGAGAAACUCAUGUAAAUUCUUUUACAAAUGAUGGAAUCAGAAAGUCUUCUACCAAUGGUGGAGUUCAGAAAGCUCGAGGCUGUAACGUCGAGAAUCGAAAAAUGAUUAGACAAACAGCACUUUUGUGUUGCUACUGCUGUUGAGGAAAGUAUGGUUGAGGUCGGUGAGGAUCUGUUAUGUGAAAGACUGAUGUGAAUGAUAAUUACAUGAGAAGUGGGAUGACUCGCUCCAGAAGGCUCACAAUUCGAUGCUCAAAUUUAUGAUUCCACGCUGAAACGUACUUCACAGCUGGAGGCUAUUAGUGCAAGGCAGUUCAUCUUAUCGCACUCGGGAAGCUCAUGAGCAUUGCUCAAGUGAUGAAAUCAGAAUUUGCUGACAAGGAUUACUCACUUCCUGGCAUUAGAGGAGUUGGGACCGGCUGGGAUGCUGCUGAAUUCAUUCUUAUUGGAGCAAAUAUAGUUCUGGAUGGUGGUUCACUAAAUGGGGAAGGGACUAUGGUGCCAAAGCUGAAUGUAAUACAUGACUGAAAAGGUACAGUUCAUGGGUCUUUAGCAUAUGCUGGAAAAGUUAAGAGGAUCAACGUUGGUCAAAUUCUCGUGAAACACCUCGAUAUGGAAAGGGAAGCGAGACACCAAUGCAUCCUUCACGAACUCCACUGCAUCAAGCAACACCGAUACACAAUGGUAUGCGAGCACAUACGCGAAAAUCCUUAUGCUCCCAUGAGUCUUGCAAGGUUGUUGUUGUAUCACCUUAGCUCAUAAGAUUCAACUGGCUGUUAUCUUUAUUGAUGACAUUGAUAGCUUUUUGGGGUAUCAUCGUGCAACGAACUGCGAAGCUUUGACAAACAUGAAAAAAGAGUUCCAUGGCUUGCAACUCUAAAAGUUACAGGUAUUUCUGGAUAUUGUGGAACUGUGAAUCUUCUUAUGCCCUCAAAAGUGUUUUGCGUUGUGAUGGGACUGGUAAAAUUCUUAUGAAAUGAUCUCUCUGGUAUGCCUGACAUGAACUUAGGCCUGAAUGAUAAAACUGGACUUGAAAAAGAAUCGUAGCUUAAUUUCUUGCCUACCAAAAGGUCCUCCUGAGGGUCAUCAUCUCUUGCAAGCAGUUAAAUGCAUUUUCCUUAGUUUGAUACCUUCAUGGAUGUCGGCACUCUGUUCCCGAUGGUGGUAAGAUCGUUGCUCCUGCUGGAUGUAGAAAUGGUUGAAAGAGUUGUGCGUCUACAGUCCUGCUCUCACGCAAGCUAGUGCCAAGAUCCUAAUGACUGAAAUUCUUGUUGAAAUUCUCAGGACUUGUAUCACUUAAGAAACCUUAAUAAUUAGAAGUUUUUUUUUAAUGAUUUUGGACUAAAUUUAUGAGUAUAGUUCAAUGUAAUCGAGAUGUCAUUUGGUAUUAGACGCAUCAGGUUCCAUAUAGAACUUGAAUUUGAGAACUUGAGUAAUUGUCAUUUGAAUUUGAAUUGUGAUUUGAAUUGUCAUUUACAUUUCAUUUGAA